CAACUACUCCCUCCGACCGAAAAUACUUGUCAUCAAAAUGGAUAAAAAGAUGUAUCUAGAACUAAUAUACAUCUAGAUACAUCCCCUUUUAUUCAUUUGGAUUACAAGUAUUUCCGGACGGAGGGAGUACUAC
rfam:Triticum aestivum genome assembly, contig: Triticum_aestivum_CS42_TGACv1_scaffold_526435_6DL